rnacentral:rRNA from 1 species
CCUACGGGUGGCAGCAGUGGGGAAUAUUGGACAAUGGGCGAAAGCCUGAUCCAGCCAUGCCGCGUGUGUGAAGAAGGCCUUCGGGUUGUAAUGCACUUUCAGUGGGGAAGAAAGCCUUGGGGCUAAUACCCUCGAGGAAGGACAUCACCCACAGAAGAAGCACCGGCUAACUCCGUGCCAGCAGCCGCGGUAAUACGGAGGGUGCGAGCGUUAAUCGGAAUUACUGGGCGUAAAGCGCGCGUAGGCGGUCUGAUAAGCCGGUUGUGAAAGCCCCGGGCUCAACCUGGGAACGGCAUCCGGAACUGUCAGGCUAGAGUGCAGGAGAGGAAGGUAGAAUUCCCGGUGUAGCGGUGAAAUGCGUAGAGAUCGGGAGGAAUACCAGUGGCGAAGGCGGUCUUCUGGACUGACACUGACGCUGAGGUGCGAAAGCGUGGGUAGCAAACAGGAUUAGAUACCCCAGUAGUC